rnacentral:sRNA from 2 species
AGGUUUUGGCGUUCCCGGCCAUCGCCAAAACCUUUGGCGCCGCCUCCCCGGCGGCGCCCUUUUUCGAUUCGA